rnacentral:tRNA from 1 species
GCGAGCGUAGCCAAGUGGUAAGGCAAUGGACUGUGACUCCACCAUGCGCGGGUUCGAUCCCCGUCGUUCGCCCCA